UAUUUUUAAACAGAAGCCUUGUAAACCGACACUGCUUGGUAUAUAUAAAGUCUUGCUUGUUUUGCCAAGUCUAAUCUGUUAUGUAUGCUGCUCAUAGAGAAGAGCUGCUAGGGAAAAGAUGACCCUGCAUGAUAUGAUCACACAGAAGACAGACUCUUUGUGACAAUUAAUUUCAUUAUGUGUCUCUGCUGUGUCUGUCACCUUAAAAAUGAGGUAUUGUAUAUUCAUUGGGGGGAUGCAAUCUAGUAUGCUCUCACUUUGUAAAUACACAAAGCACACAACCUAAGGAAGCCAUGUGGACAGCCCAAAACUACAAGAUCUUGGACAAUAAUAAGUCAUGGCAGUUAAUAGGUAGAGAAAUUGAAGAUCCCUGCCAUGAGGAAUCUCAUGAGAGACUGAGACACUGAAUGUGUUAUUUCAAUCUAAAGCAAAGAAAAAUCUGUCUUCUACUGCGCUGCACGUAUACUUCAAAGCUCAGGUUUCAUUGGGUCAUUGUCUUCUCACAAAUAUUACAUAAUAUAUGAUAUUUUUACAGUAAAUGUAAGGAGGCUGUACACAUUAUUUUACUUCAAACAUUGGGUAACUAAGGUCAAAUAAUUGAAGAAAAAUUUUAGUUAAGGCUUAUUAUCUGUUGUAGAUAUAGUUUGCACAUUUUAAGACAUCGGAUAUUUUCUGAUCUUACAUAACAGUGGAUUAAAAUGUGCAUGCUUAGCCUUCCAGAGCUUCAAAACUAACAGGCAGCAGCAAAUGGAUGAAUUCCGAUCAGUAAACACCCUCCCGUGAAGAAUUCCUUCUCUGAAAGUUGCAUUUCAGAAGAAAUAUUUCCAUACCUAUCCUGAAGCCAGGGCUACUUUGAAGAGUGCUGUACAAGGGGAGCCAGGCUACAAAGCAGAACAGCUUAGCGUGAUUCUAUGGCACUGAGGUGCACUAUUUACUGACAUCAAAUGAAGCUAACAAAGAAACACCAGGCUAACCCAAGAACUCAGAAGCAGCUAUGACUUUUGAUGAAAAGAAAGCGUAUGGACAAAUAUACAUUUGUAGCGGCUUUAAGAGGGAGCUUUGGAGCUUCCAGCAACUCCUAUGCUGUAAUAGUUAAAUGAUCCUGCCAGAAAAGUGAGCCUUAUCUUUGACCCUGACUGAAUGAAGCAGAGUUAGAGUGAUUUUGCUUCAAAAUCAUGAAGAUGUAACAGCUUGUAUUACUAUUCAGGGAUACACAAGGCAAGGACUUCUUAGGGUGAUACCUUUCAUCAGACCAACUAUGCAGCUGGGAUAAAGAUGAGCUUUUGAACAGAAGACAUUCUCUAUGUAAUGGUCCAAAAAAAGAUAUCCUAAGAAAUCCCUGCCUCUUGCACAACUCCUGGACCAUUAUGACUACAACCAUCACUUUUACACUACUGUAUUCAACAACAGCGAUUCAAUUCUCACAUCUGUCUAAAACAGGGGUGGGCAAUUAUUUCAGCUGGAGGGCCACUUAGUGCGUUUUAGUAACCUGUUGAGAACCGCAAGGGUAGUCUCACCCCUUGACACAUGCCCCCUGUCUUGGUUGCCAUCUUGGGACUGGAAGUCUUGCCCUUAACCCCUGACCUUGGCCACCGAAGUCCCUUCCCUUGCAGUACUCCUUGUGGGAGGGGAAAGCUGCCAGCUUGGAACCAGA